rnacentral:rRNA from 1 species
GAUGAACACUGACAGAAUGCUUAACACAUGCAAGUCAACUUGAACUUCGGUUUGGGUGGCGGACGGGUGAGUAACGCGUAAAGAACUUGCCUCACAGUUAGGGACAACAUUUGGAAACGAAUGCUAAUACCUGAUAUUAUGAUUUUAGGGCAUCCUAGAAUUAUGAAAGCUAUAUGCGCUGUGAGAGAGCUUUGCGUCCCAUUAGCUAGUUGGAGAGGUAACGGCUCACCAAGGCGAUGAUGGGUAGCCGGCCUGAGAGGGUGAACGGCCACAAGGGGACUGAGACACGGCCCUUACUCCUACGGGAGGCAGCAGUGGGGAAUAUUGGACAAUGGACCAAGAGUCUGAUCCAGCAAUUCUGUGUGCACGAUGAAGUUUUUCGGAAUGUAAAGUGCUUUCAGUUGGGAAGAAAAAAAUGACGGUACCAACAGAAGAAGUGACGGCUAAAUACGUG